rnacentral:RNase_P_RNA from 1 species
UUGGCUAUUCGCUCUAUCGCUGUUUUGUUUUUUACAGAAGAGAGGAAAGUCGGGACAACAAAGGACGCCAUACUUCCUAACAGGAAGGUGUUUCAGGAAACUGAGGCAACAGCAAGUGCAACAGAAAGAAUACCGCCUAAGGUUGUUUUCGAACAAUCCGGUAAGGGUGAAAUCGUGGAGUAAGAGCCCACGCCUGUUUUAUGUGAAUAAAGCUGUGUGUAAACCUUAUGGGUUGAAAGACCAAAUAAACCAAGAAUUUUUUGUUCGUCAAAGAGGAAGGUCGGUCCGGCCAAUCUUGGAGGGUAGGUCGCUUGAGCUUGAAAGUGAUUUCAAGUCUAGAUAAAUGAUAGAGGUUCCGCCUAGCGGAAUACAGAAUCCCGCUUAUAGAAUAGCCAAACAU